AUGCUCAUUUGGCAGCACAUAUACUAAAACUGGAACGAUACAGAGAAGAUUAGCAUGACCCCUGCACAGGGAUAACACGCAAAUUUGUGAAGCAUUCCAUAUAAAG